AGCAGCUGUGGACCACUGGCAGGUCAUCGGUCUCAUAAGCCGGAGAGAGCGGGUUCGAUUCCCGCCGCUGCUACCA
rnacentral:tRNA from 1 species